rnacentral:tRNA from 1 species
GGGCGAUUAGCUCAGCUGGGAGAGCGCCUGCCUUACAAGCAGGAUGUCGGCGGUUCGACCCCGUCAUCGCCCA